rnacentral:rRNA from 1 species
CCCUUAGAUGUUCUGGGCUGCACGCGUGCUACAAUGGCGCUUGCAACAAGUCUUGCCAACCCGAUAGGGUGAGCGGAUCUUUGAAGAGGCGUCGUGAUCGGGACAGUUGAUUGCAAUUAUUCGACUCGAACGAGGAAUUCCUUGUAAUCGCGAUUCAUCAUAUCGCGCUGAAUACGUCCCUGCCCUUUGUACACACCGCCCGUCGCUCCUACCGAUUGAGCGAUCCGGUAAAUGUUUUGGAUUGGUGCCGGGGCGGCUAGCUGCCGGUCGCUACGAAAUUUUGUGAACCUUAUCGCUUAGAGGAAGGAAAAGUCGUAACA